UGUUUGUAUAGUGUGUGUAUAUAAUGCAGUGUGUUUGUGUAGUGUGCAUUAUAUAAACACACUACACAAACACACUGCAUUAUAUACACACACUAUGCAAAC
rnacentral:miRNA from 1 species